UUGAAAGGGAAACGAUUGAAGUCAGUCAUACCAACGGGAAAUCAACCUUUUGAGCUUGGUCUCGUGGGUUUUGAAGAGUUUCAAAGCCUUCGGAUUCGCGGGAUUGGGAUCUCUUGGUGUACUUUUUCGUACGGUUAGUCAACAUCGGUUUUGAAUGUCAUAAAAUGACUGGAGGAAUGUAGCUUCGAUCUCGUAUUGAAGUGUUAUAGCCUUUGGUAGAUGUGAUGUUUGAGACCGAGGAUUGCAACGGAUACCCUUCAGGGCUAUUCGUCUGAUCUCUGAUACGUUGCCUUGAUGUUGAAAGCUUACUUAUGAUGUUAGGGUAUUACGGUCAAAAGGUUAGAACGAAUUACAUUCGUUAAGGAUGUUGACGUAA
rnacentral:rRNA from 1 species